UCUGAUAGGUUAAUUUUAUUUUA
rnacentral:siRNA from 1 species